rnacentral:rRNA from 1 species
GUAGGGAAUAUUGGUCAAUGGAGGCAACUCUGAACCAGCCAUGCCGCGUGCAGGAUGACUGCCCUAUGGGUUGUAAACUGCUUUUUUAAGGGAAUAAAACGCUCUUGCGAGAGUAACUGAAGGUACCUUAAGAAUAAGCCUCGGCUAACUACGUGCCAGCAGCCGCGGUAAUACGUAGGAGGCAAGCGUUGUCCGGAUUUAUUGGGUUUAAAGGGUGCGUAGGCGGCCUAAUAAGUCAGUGGUGAAAGCCGACAGCUUAACUGUCGAACUGCCAUUGAUACUGCUAGGCUUGAGUACAAAUGAGGUAGGCGGAAUUGAUGAUGUAGCGGUGAAAUGCUUAGAUAUCAUCAAGAACACCGAUUGCGAAGGCAGCUUACUAAGAUGUAACUGACGCUGAGGCACGAAAGUGCGGGGAUCAAACAGGAUUAGAAACCCCUGUAGUCC